rnacentral:rRNA from 1 species
UACGUAGGGUGCAAGCGUUGUCCGGAAUUAUUGGGCGUAAAGAGCUUGUAGGCGGUUUGUCGCGUCUGCUGUGAAAUUUCGGGGCUCAACCCCGAACUUGCAGUGGGUACGGGCAGACUAGAGUGUGGUAGGGGAGACUGGAAUUCCUGGUGUAGCGGUGAAAUGCGCAGAUAUCAGGAGGAACACCGAUGGCGAAGGCAGGUCUCUGGGCCAUAACUGACGCUGAGAAGCGAAAGCA